AGCUCCCUGGGUUGCUAGCCAGUCGAUAUGUCCUCGACCCUUUAUGCGAAACUUAGGAGGUCUUUUUUGCUGGUUGAUGUGCAUGUCUGUUCUUCAGAACGCCUAAUACUGCUUGGAGACCACCGCCUUGAACCGCAGGGUUCAAGGGCCUGUCCGACAGCGACAAUUUGGGGAGCCU
rnacentral:other from 2 species